UUGUUGUGGUAUUUUUCUUAAAGUCAUUUCUAACUUACAACAACCCUACGGUGAACCUAUCACUGGGUUCUCUCGGAAAAUUUUUUUCAGAGGGGUUGCCUUUCCCUUCUUCUCUGAGGCUAAGAGAGUGUGACUAGCCCAAGGGCACUCAGUGGGUUUCCAUGGUUGAGCAGGUAGGUAUUCAAGUUUAACACUCAGACCAUUAUACCACACUGGCUUGCCAAUGAAGGAAUGCCAGAUCCAGAAUAUGUGGCCCAGAAUGUCUUGUCAAAUAAGUGAAGAUGCUCAGAUGCAACUCUUGGUACAUAAGUUAUAAUCAUGCCCCAGUAGCCUCUUUGGCAUUGCAACAAAACCUGGAUGAUUGUCACACGAGAUAGAAAAUUUUAGGCCAGGAUUGGCUUCGUGUAACACCAGUUUUUGUUUUUUACAACUUUCUUAAUAGCUGUAGUGUUGCAUGCAUGCAUACAAACAAACCUGGGACAAAAGACUAAACCACAUCAAACUGGGAAAAGUAAAAAGCCUUAAGAGCUUUAUCCUCAAGCCCAGGCGUAUCCUGAUUGCUCUGAAUAUGGAACCUGCACUAUUUAAGCACAUUCAUCUGCCAUAACUCAACCCUGCAAGGUAUUUUAACCAUUGUUGGUUGGCUAGCAGUCAUGAAAAUGGGAAAAGUGCAAGCCUCUAAUUUGCUGGUGCUCACAAUGGGUAAUACUGAACAAAAGUUGUCUGUCUUUUGCUGGGACCAAGCUUGUCUUCUGAGAAUGGACAACUAUCCAUGUAAAAUGCUGUUUCUUUCAGUUCCAGUAAAUACUGUCACUGUUUAAAAUA